UACAGAGGUCCCAAGCGUUGUUCGGAUUCAUUGGGCGUAAAGGGUGCGUAGGCGGCGCGGUAAGUCGGGUGUGAAAUCUCGGGGCUUAACUCCGAAACUGCAUUCGAUACUGCCGUGCUUGAGGACUGGAGAGGAGACUGGAAUUUACGGUGUAGCGGUGAAAUGCGUAGAUAUCGGGAGGAACACCAGUGGCGAAGGCGACUACCUGGCCUGUUCUUGACGCUGAGGCGCGAAAGCUAGGGGAGCAAACGGG
rnacentral:rRNA from 1 species